rnacentral:lncRNA from 1 species
CAGCUCCAGUGGUUCGAGAGCUGAGAUUGGCUCUGCUCGCCCCAGCGGAGCUAAGCGCCCUGGAAGAACAGAACCGACGGGAGCCUCUCAUUCCGGUUGAACAAAUUGUGGAGGCAUGGAAGUGCCACGCCCUACGCAGAGGAGAUGCGGCCCGGAGCGCACUGUGCCGCCGGCGGAGGGGCACCUUGCCUCGGGAUCACCAUCGUUUUCUGGACCUUCGUUUCUAAUGAUCCACUUCCGGAUCGUUCUAGGACGUUAACCACUCCCCAAACUACAGUUCCCAGGGUGCUAUUCGCUGGAGGUGGUCUUCCUUUCCCAGCAAGCUCAGCAGCCGGAUACGGGAAGGACCGUUUUUUGCGUCUGGAGUAAUAGCUAAAGCCUCCGUGGGAGAGUAGGGUUUGGACAGUGGGCCCAAGGGGCUAGACUGUGGGCUUGGGUGAUGUCCUGAGACCGGAAACGGGGGUGGCCUUUGUUGCAUGAGCUCAUGCUUCUUCAAGUCGGUCUGCACCCCUGUACUCGGGUGACGCUCUAUUUAGCUCAUCCUCUUUAACAAACCAGCUUCCUGGCUCCAGGCUCAGCGCAGAUUUGAGCUUCUCACUUUCCCAGCCCUGGAAAUAGUGUUUGUUUUUUUCUGUGGGUCUGGAGCCCGGACCUCUUCCUUACCUACCUCAUGCCUUGUCUCCCUCUUAAUACUACUUCCUCGUUGGUUUAGUCUGAAGCCUAUCUUUCAUCACAUUUUGGGGUAUUUUCUACCACUACCCCAGCCAGUGCCCCUCACUCCUUUCCCCCUCGGGGUUACAAUAUUCCCUAUGAUGGUCCCAUGCCAUGAUUGUCA